UACGGGGGGGGCAAGCGUUGUUCGGAAUUACUGGGCGUAAAGGGCUUGUAGGUGGCCAACUAAGUCCGACGUGAAAUCCCUAGGCUUAACCUAGGAACUGCGUCGGAUACUGGUGGGCUCGAAUCCGGGAGAGGGAUGUGGAAUUCCAGGUGUAGCGGUGAAAUGCGUAGAUAUCUGGAGGAACACCGGUGGCGAAGGCGGCAUCCUGGACCGGUAUUGACGCUGAGGCGCGAAAGCCAGGGGAGCAAACGGG
rnacentral:rRNA from 1 species